rnacentral:rRNA from 1 species
GAUGAACGCUGGCGGCGUGCCUAAUACAUGCAAGUCGAGCGAACGGACGAGAAGCUUGCUUCUCUGAUGUUAGCGGCGGACGGGUGAGUAACACGUGGAUAACCUACCUAUAAGACUGGGAUAACUUCGGGAAACCGGAGCUAAUACCGGAUAAUAUUUUGAACCGCAUGGUUCAAAAGUGAAAGACGGUCUUGCUGUCACUUAUAGAUGGAUCCGCGCUGCAUUAGCUAGUUGGUAAGGUAACGGCUUACCAAGGCAACGAUGCAUAGCCGACCUGAGAGGGCAGCGGGCCACACUGGAAAUAUGACCCGGUCCAGACGACAACGGGAGCAAGCAGGAGGGAAUCUGUCGGAAUGGGCGAAAGCCUGAAGGAGCAACGCCGAGUGAAUGAUGAAGGGCUUCGGAUCGUAAAACACUGUUAUUAGGGAAGAACAUAUGUGCAAGUAACAGUGCACAUCUUGAAGGUACCUAAGCAGAAAGCCACGGCUCACUACGUG